rnacentral:tRNA from 1 species
GCGGGUGUAGUUCAAUGGCAGAACUCCAGCCUUCCAAGCUGGCCAUGUGGGUUCGAUUCCCAUCACCCGCUCCA